rnacentral:rRNA from 1 species
GACGAACGCUGGCGGCGUGCUUAACACAUGCAAGUCGAACGGAAAGGCCCUGCUUGCAGGGUACUCGAGUGGCGAACGGGUGAGUAACACGUGGGUGAUCUGCCCUGCACUUCGGGAUAAGCUUGGGAAACUGGGUCUAAUACCGGAUAGGAGCCAUCUUUAGUGUGGUGGUUGGAAAGUUUUUUCGGUGUAGGAUGAGCUCGCGGCCUAUCAGCUUGUUGGUGGGGUAAUGGCCUACCAAGGCGGCGACGGGUAGCCGGCCUGAGAGGGUGUACGGCCACAUUGGGACUGAGAUACGGCCCAGACUCCUACGGGAGGCAGCAGUGGGGAAUAUUGUACAAUGGGCGCAAGCCUGAUGCAGCGACGCCGCGUGGGGGAUGAAGGCCUUCGGGUUGUAAACUCCUUUCGCUAGGGACGAAGCUUUGUUGUGACGGUACCUAGAUAAGAAGCACCGGCUAACUACGUG